rnacentral:lncRNA from 1 species
AUGGGCAUUCUUGCUGGGAAAAGCAGAGCUGAUUCUCUGACUUCCAGAAAGAUUUCCAUGAAGAGUACUGGGCACCUGAACCUCACUGGAACCCAACACCCAUCUGUGCUCAGAUCAAGCCCCAUUCUGGGGGGCCUCUGCUUUUGGAGCCGAAAGGCCUGGAAAGGCCACACAGCCCAGAAGCCGCGUGACCCAAUAGGGCUCUACGACACUACUGCACGCCAGGUCCCUGUGUUGCAACCAAUUGAGUUCGACCCGCCUGUGCACAGAGAUCCUACAUGCUUGUGCCUUGACCAGCUGCUACCAAAGUUCCAGGGAAAACAGUGAGUUAAACCUUCUUGGCCUGCCGCCUGUUGCAUCUGUUGUACUCAGUCCUGGCGCUCCACCCGAUUGGGAGAGUUUUAAAUUUCACACAGGCUUCUUCGAGGUUUUUACUGCCUUAGGCAGCAAAUACCACAGCCGCAUUCAGCCGCACGCAUUCAUUUAGAUCUAGCUGCCUGUGCAUGCCUGCAGCCUGGAGUUGAGAGCCGCAUGGCUGGGCCGAUUUUGUCCUGCCUUACCAAACCGAGCAAGUUUUCCUUUCUGUGCGGGCCUCCAAAGCCAAAAAAGCGCUACUGCCGCUGCAGUUUCUGUGGCCUGCAACCGCUGGCAGAAAAACCAGGCGUCCUCUGCUGAGACUGCACAUACUAUGUCCCCCUCCUGCGCUAAGAUUCCCAGCUCCAGGUCCCAAAGCUGCCCUACAGCUGGGCUGCCCGCUGCACCAACUCAGCCAUGAGCCUUCUGCAUCUGCAGAGCUUGGUCUCCACCCAGUACUGUUCUUUGAAGGUUUUCCCACACCUAGUAAACAGAGCCCCAAUCCGUUCUUAACACGCUCUGUAAGGAUUUUUCAAGAAAUUUCGGGUCCAACUCAAAAACAACUGCAACUGAACACCCGCGCCACCUGCUGGUCAAAAGUGGUUAUUGCAUCUGGAGUAGACGCAGCCUGAUUCAUCCAGCUGAAAACCUCCUAUCGCAUCUGGAGUAGAAGCUGACUG